CCGUCCCCUCCCCUUGCCCGCUGCGUCGCGAGGCGCGCGCCCGCCCGCCGCCUGCCGCGGAUCGCGUGGUCAGCUCGGCUCGCCGCGCCUCUCCCCCGUCCGUCCAUAUUGCUGCAGCCCCCGAGCCGGGAAGCCCGGGCCGCCCCGGCGGCGGGGGGGAGGGAGGGACGGGACGAGAAGCCUGCCAGGCUCGGGGGGGGUGGACGCCUUGCGAGGAACGGCGGGGGGGGACGCGCGCCGAGGAGGCCUGGACCGCAUAGUGGGGGGCCUUCGCCCCCCCCCCGCCCGGCCAGCGGGCCUUGGAUCUACGGCGGCUGCAUCCGACCCGGAGGGUGGCCGCGCCUAGCGUGAACCCCGACCCUUCUCCGCCGGGACUGGGGGCCCAGCGCCCCGGAGGAAGGGCGUCGCGGGCGCUCGGAGAGCCAAGGUUCGAGGCGGGGGAGGCAGCCUCGGGCGCGCCCGGCUUCUCCGGGGGGGCGGGAGCGCAGAUGGCCACUCAAGGUGGAGCCGCUGCUGACGGGGGCGCCCCACUCUUGCAGGCCGAAGAGCACGGGGGGCUGGUGAGGGAAUAAGCCGCCGCCGUCUUCCGAGGGCAAGGCAGAGGCCCGGGGCGAACGAGACGUCGGAGGGGGGGAGCCGGACGGCGCGCCCGGAGACCUCGGCCGCCUGCGCCAAAGCCACACAAGGAGGGCACAGGGCAGCUGGAGCGCGAGAGCCCGCGGCCGCCGCAGCCGCCUGGCGCCGAGGGCCGGCCGUCAGCGACGGGGAGGAGGGCGGCGGCGGCGAGCCGGCCGCUGGCGAGGAGCUGCCGGAGCCGCGGUCGCGGGCGCCGAGACUUCGUGGAGGCCACUCCGCCCAAGUGAACCCGUGGACUAAGAACGCGUUGCCGCCGGUCCUGGCCACCGUGAACGGACAGUCUCCUCCAGGAUAGAGAAAUGGGAGGCCCUUCGAAUGGUUGGUGCUGUAGGAGUGAAGAUUAGAAGAGGACUAGGUCUGGCAGCACGUGCCCCAAGGUGACCCGGUGCAGAUGCUGUGACUCCUGUUCCUCCAGACACAAGCCUUCAGCUUUCUUCCCUCCCCUACACUGGGCCAGCGGUUGACACACCCUGAGCAGGCCAGGGAAGGCCUGCCCAAAUGGAGGAGGUAUUGCUCAGAAAUGCUCUCGAUUUCCCAAUAACAGCAGCACCUGCCCCUUUCCACUCUACCUGACUGAUGAGCUCUUCAAGAUGGAGCAUAAAGCGCGUAAAGCAUGGUGCUAGGAGGGGUGAGGACACUCACACAGCCAGGAUUAGGUAACUAACAGGCUCACCAACGAGUGAGAUGGGCUGGAAAAGUUUGCC
rnacentral:lncRNA from 1 species